UCAGCUGCUCUCAUUUCAGUUCAUCACUAUGGCUCUGAACGGCUAUGGAGUCAUCAUUGUCUUAGUGUCUUGCUUUGGUUUCAUCUCCCAGGCUCUGGUGACUCAAAGUGGUCCUGUUUCAGUGGCUGUUGGACAAACAGCCACCAUCACCUGUACUCUACAAGGAGUGGAGUUUAUCAGCCCUACUAACCCAUCCUGGUAUCAGCAGAAAGGAGGACAGUCUCCAAGGUUGCUCAUCUACAAGUCCAGGGAAAGAGCUUCCGGGAUCCCUCAACGUUUUUCUGCAGACACCUAUGACAACAAUGCAAAGUUGACCAUUUCAAGCGUUGAGGGUGCUGAUGAAGGGGAUUAUUUCUGUGCCAUGUGGCAUAAUGAUGGGCUACACACUGUUGCCUUCAGAUGCAGACCUGAAACAAGAGGUUUCUGGGCCUGAAACAGAAAGUGGAUGGGAGUAAACCCACAUUCUGCUUCUAUCCUUCUGAAUGUCACAUAUAGGGUAUUUCCUGCAUUUGGCAGAACCCUUUCACUGUGGAAGAGGAGCAUUCCAGAUCCUGUCAUCAGUUCUGUGGUGCCCUGGGGAGUGGAAGGGGGAUAUUCCUCUGCUCUUCUGGAAUCCCUGAGCCAUUUUCUGGUUCUGUGGACUCUUCCUCCAAUUCGGCCACCUUGUCCAUCUCCAACAUUCAAGCAGAAGACGAGGUUGAUGAUUCCUGUUCAUCUCAUGAUGGCAGUGGGCCGAGCACAGUGAUUCAACCCAAUGGAGGACUGAGACCAAAACUUUCUCAUCACUGUUGACAAGCUCCACUUUUUAUCACUUGCAGAUGGCUGACAAUAGGAGUCACUAUAGACAGCAAUU